ACGGGUGCGUAACGCGUAUGCAAUCUACCCUAUACAGGGGGAUAGCCCAGAGAAAUUUGGAUUAAUACCCCAUAGUAUAAUUGAAUGGCAUCAUUUGAUUAUUAAAGUUCCAACGGUAUAAGAUGAGCAUGCGUCCCAUUAGCUAGUUGGUGUGGUAACGGCACACCAAGGCGACGAUGGGUAGGGGUCCUGAGAGGGAGAUCCCCCACACUGGUACUGAGACACGGACCAG
rnacentral:rRNA from 1 species